CUUGGCAUUUCUGAGCUACCAAAGGUCUCCAUUUCUUUGCUGUCACAGGAGUUGGAACUAAUGGGUAUGAAUCAGAGGAAGAGGAGGUUGAUGAGUUAGAUGGGAAAGUCAUGGUCACAUAUUUCCAUAUCUUCUGUACUUGGUUUGCUCUAUGCUCAGAGAGGAGGUGGAGCUCCCCGUCCCCAGUGUUUUUCGGGUGGCUUCACUGCCUGCUGCAUCACAGCUGUCAGUCAACCUGAAGAGCUGUGUCACAGAAUGAAGCCCCUUUGUUAACCCCUUAAUGGCUGUUUACGAGUGUGGAUAGUGGUAGGACAAGGGGGAAUGGUUUUAAACUGGGACAAGGGAGGUUUAGGUUGGAUAUUAGGAGGAAGUUUUUCACCCAGAGGGUGGUGAGGCACUGAACAGGUUGCCCAAGGAGGCUGUGGAUGCCCCAUCCCUGGAGGCAUUCAAGGCCAGGCUGGAUGUGGCUCUGGGCAGCCUGGUCUGCUGGUUGGCGACCCUGCACAUAGCAGGGG
ensembl:lncRNA